rnacentral:rRNA from 1 species
AGAGGGUGCGAACGUUGUUCGGAAUUACUGGGCGUAAAGCGUGUGUAGGCGGCAAGGCAAGUCGGAUGUGAAAUCCCGUGGCUCAACCAUGGACGUGCACUCGAAACUGCCUAGCUAGAGUCCCGGAGAGGAAGGUGGAAUGCUUGGUGUAGAGGUGAAAUUCGUAGAUAUCAAGCAGAACACCUGUGGCGAAGGCGGCCUUCUGGACGGUGACUGACGCUGAGACACGAAAGCGUGGGGAGCAAACAGGAUUAGAUACCCUGGUAGUCCACGCCGUAAACGAUGAGUGCUAGGUAUCUCGGGCUUUGACCCCCGAGGUGCCGAAGCUAACGCGAUAAGCACUCCGCCUGGGAAGUACGGCCGCAAGGCUAAA